GCCUUGGUCUUCCAAAUCAUUGCACAAAAUUAAUUAAACUUUUCCCUAUUAGAUAUCCAACUGCUUUUUAUUUCAGAAGUGAAGUUACAUUACUGAUGGGUAUAAUGCUCCAUAGUGGCUUAUUACUUAUUCUCCUUUAGAACAAAACCUCUCUUUAGUGGAUAAUGUAUUUCCAUAUGCUGCUUUACCUUGUUGCUGUUAUUGUUUUGCAAGCUCGAACAAUAUGCUGAAAGUUCCAGUGAACAGGUGAACUUCUAAUUGUAUUUUUAAAUAAUGCAUUCAUCAUUUUAAAAGUCUGCCAUUGUCUGAAAUGACUGACAUCAUGUUUCUUUUUACAGAGAUUUAUCUUUUACCCACCACAAGUACCACCAUUUUUCCCUCAGGUCCUCUUUCCCCUACCUCCGCAACCGCCCCUGGUCCUCACACCUAAUGAUCUUAUCGCGUUACUCAUUGCUAUUUUGAACCAACUAGGGAUUUUAUUUCCAUGACUAAAUUGAUAAAGGUAAGUUAUAUUCAAUGCCACGAAAGGUAAGAGAAACUCUUUGUAACUAUAAAAAUAUGAGAGUCAACCUCAACUGAUCUACCAAACUAGAACUCAUAAGUUAUAAACUCAUUUCCUCCAAAAUCUUUACAUCAAAAUUUUUGCCAGUCUAAAAAGGUAUUUUUUAAUAAUGUCCUUGAUAUUUCACAAAAUUUAAAUUUACAGGCAUAUAUGCAAUAUGAAAUUUCAAACAACAAAGUUUGCUUCAGGCUUUUUUUUUUUUUUUUUUGAGGA
rnacentral:lncRNA from 1 species